rnacentral:lncRNA from 1 species
CAGGGUGACUGUACUGCACACCAGUUUCAUCAUUCUAUAUCAUGCCAUCAUAAUACAAUAGUAUACGAACUCGAGUACUGACCAUUUUUUUGAAAAAAUCUAUGACAAAAUCAAAAUCAAAAUAUUUAGUAUUACUAAUUAUUUUAUCGUUUCAAAAGAUUUAUAUGAUAAAUGCAUCAUAUCAUCAAUAAAUAGGUACAAAUAGAUCCUAUCCCAUUCAAAAAUUGUAUUAAUUCUAUAUGUUAAUUAUAUUAAUCA